rnacentral:snRNA from 1 species
AUACUAACCUGACGUAGGGGAUACCAUGAUCAUCACGGUGGUUCCCCCAGGAGUGACGCAAAAUUGCUGAACCCUGUAAAUACUCCUGAUGCGAGUAUUUGUGCGUUCAAUUUUUGGUAGUGCGGGGCUCUUGCGGUCGCGCAGUCCCCGC